rnacentral:misc_RNA from 1 species
UUUCCAUGCCAAAGGAACAUUGAAUUUCCAGAUUGCAAAAGGAAGCUGUCGGUAGAGCUUAAUGAUGUAGCUACCGCAUCAACUUGAAUCACUUUAUUGUUAUGGACCGAUGUUUUGGAUAUCCGAAUCAGUGCAAUACCAUCAGAAAUAUAAGUAUCAUCAUUCAAAUUCUUGUCAGCAAUAAGUUUUUUGUAACCAGGGCUGAUUCCCCCCUUCAAGACAACCAUGGGCUGAAAUAAAGCAAUAAAUUGUGGUGGCUCUCUUCCUUGAACAAUCCGACCCUGAACAGGUUUCCCUUUCAAAGAAUUACACAUUGAACUGGCUAAUUUAGUAGCCAUCAGUUGAUCGUCCUUAGCACUAUUCUUCCCUAUCCAACAGGAUAAGAAGUAUUCAUCUUUCUUCUCGCCGGAAUGAUACGUGUGAAGAACAAUAUAACAGUCGCCACUGUAAAAUUUACCGAUCUCUUCAUGGGGAACUGG